rnacentral:rRNA from 1 species
AACACGUGAGUAACCUGCCCUUAACUCUGGGAUAAGCCUGGGAAACUGGGUCUAAUACCGGAUAUGACUCCUCAUCGCAUGGUGGGGGGUGGAAAGCUUUUUGUGGUUUUGGAUGGACUCGCGGCCUAUCAGCUUGUUGGUGAGGUAAUGGCUUACCAAGGCGACGACGGGUAGCCGGCCUGAGAGGGUGACCGGCCACACUGGGACUGAGACACGGCCCAGACUCCUACGGGAGGCAGCAGUGGGGAAUAUUGCACAAUGGGCGCAAGCCUGAUGCAGCGACGCCGCGUGAGGGAUGACGGCCUUUCGGGUUGUAAACCUCUUUCAGUAGGGAAGAAGCGAAAGUGACGGUACCUGCAGAAGAAGCGCCGGCUAACUACGUGCCAGCAGCCGCGGUAAUACGUAGGGCGCAAGCGUUAUCCGGAAUUAUUGGGCGUAAAGAGCUCGUAGGCGGUUUGUCGCGUCUGCCGUGAAAGUCCGGGGCUCAACUCCGGAUCUGCGGUGGGUACGGGCAGACUAGAGUGAUGUAGGGGAGACUGGAAUUCCUGGUGUAGCGGUGAAAUGCGCAGAUAUCAGGAGGAACACCGAUGGCGAAGGCAGGUCUCUGGGCAUUAACUGACGCUGAGGAGCGAAAGCAUGGGGAGCGAACAGGAUUAGAUACCCUGGUAGUCCAUGCCGUACACGUUGGGCACUAGGUGUGGGGGACAUUCCACGUUUUCCGCGCCGUAGCUAACGCAUUAAGUGCCCCGCCUGGGGAGUACGGCCGCAAGGCUAAAACUCAAAGGAAUUGACGGGGGCCCGCACAAGCGGCGGAGCAUGCGGAUUAAUUCGAUGCAACGCGAAGAACCUUACCAAGGCUUGACAUGAACCGGUAAGACCUGGAAACAGGUCCCCCGCUUGCGGUCGGUUUACAGGUGGUGCAUGGUUGUCGUCAGCUCGUGUCGUGAGAUGUUGGGUUAAGUCCCGCAACGAGCGCAACCCUCGUUCUAUGUUGCCAGCACGUGAUGGUGGGGACUCAUAGGAGACUGCCGGGGUCAACUCGGAGGAAGGUGGGGACGACGUCAAAUCAUCAUGCCCCUUAUGUCUUGGGCUUCACGCAUGCUACAAUGGCCGGUACAAAGGGUUGCGAUACUGUGAGGUGGAGCUAAUCCCAAAAAGCCGGUCUCAGUUCGGAUUGGGGUCUGCAACUCGAC